UUCCUUCUUUUCCCAGGACCUGUAUGAACCCUACCCAGAGUGUCCCUCUAAUCCUCUUGUUUACUGCUCUAGUCAUGAAAUGUAAUUUAAUUUAUUCGGGAAUCCGAGUUUGGGGGCAAGCAGGAUGCACAUCAGAGUACACAAGAGGCAUGUCUUGGUGACUUCCGCCUGAGAGUACAUGCAUGGCUUCCUGUUUUGGUCUGAUAGCUUCCCCUGAGCUUUCAUAGAUGCAAGAUUACCCAAUGCAAAAGAGAAGAGUGUCCAAUAUGAUUAGGAGGUUUUGAGUUUGGUUAUUAAGAGAAUAAAUUGUUAACAGAAAUAAGAUCAUACCUGGAAGACAAUAUGGUGAGUUCUCCUUUGGACCUAAUUAAUUCUGAAUGUAGUUGGCAACACUGGGUCGGGAGGGAAAUCAGAAAAGGAGCUUUGGAUUUAAGCUAUG